rnacentral:pre_miRNA from 14 species
UUUUCAGUGAAACUGAAAGAUCCCCGAAGGGAGACCCUUACUCAAAUCUUGGGAAAUCUCGGACCCCAGACACAGAGAGACCA